UACGUAGGCAGCGAGCGUUGUUCGGAGUUACUGGGCGUAAAGAGUGCGUAGGCGGUUUUCUAAGUUUGGUGUGAAAUCUCCCGGCUUAACUGGGAGGGUGCGCCGAAAACUGGAAGGCUUGAGUAUGGGAGAGGUAAGUGGAAUUCCUGGUGUAGCGGUGAAAUGCGCAGAUAUCAGGAAGAACACCCGUGGCGAAGGCGGCUCUCUGGAACGCAACUGACGCUGAGGAGCGAAAGCGUGGGGAGCGAACAGG
rnacentral:rRNA from 1 species